rnacentral:lncRNA from 1 species
GAACAAAGGGCGAUUAUUCAAAAUAUGUAGUAUUAACUGUGAGUAUUUUGAUUGGGUCGUCAAUGAAAAAUCAAGCAGUGAAUCUAGCACGACUAAUGAAGCAGUGAAGCCAUCGAGAAAGUCGAAGAUUUGCCGACCAUGUUCGACAGUCUAGCUAGAAUAGUUGAAAAAAGAGACAUUGAAAUUUCAUUGAACGUGACAUUCCAUAAGGGAAAGGAAACUGUCGAGGUGAAUGGAAUGAAAAAGGGAAGGGCCGCGCUUCAUAGAUAGUAGGCAAAACUGAUAUUUUGCAAACAUGUUUUUGCUUGGCGUUUGCUAUCGAAAAAUUUAUGUAAAAUAUGGUUUUGUAAUUAAAUGUUUGACUUAAUGCUAGGUAGAAAUAGUUCUUGUUGCCAUAUCAAUAUGUAUGAACUGAGGACAGGACCAGUUGCAACUUUUUGAGAACUAAAGAUUUCACAUUGCCACAGUUUCUCCAAAAAAAGAGAGAAUUUGGCACACAUGAAACAUUUAUAAAAAAGAGACAAUCUGGUACACAUUCGGAAAUAGAAUCUCAAUUGAAUUCUGCAUGGCUCUGUCUUGAUCGGUAAUUAUUCCACAUGGAGGUUGAUCAUGCAUGCACUGAGCCACGUCCUAAAUAGCUAGACAAAUGUACUUGUAUUCUCAUUUGAUAACAAGCCAUAACCAAGUAGUGUCGAUUAUCCGUAAUGAUUCAUA